rnacentral:rRNA from 1 species
UACGGAGGAUGCAAGCGUUAUCCGGAUUCAUUGGGUUUAAAGGGUGCGUAGGCGGGAAAAUAAGUCAGUGGUGAAAGCCUGCAGCUUAACUGCAGAAUUGCCAUUGAUACUGUUAUUCUUGAGUACAGUUGAAGUGGGUGGAAUGUGUGGUGUAGCGGUGAAAUGCUUAGAUAUCACACAGAACGCCAAUUGCGAAGGCAGCUCACUAAGCUGUUACUGACGCUGAGGCACGAAAGCGUGGGGAUCAAACAGG